UACGGAGGAUGCGAGCGUUAUCCGGAUUUAUUUGGUUUAAAGGGUGCGUAGGCGGCUUUUUAAGUCAGCGGUGAAAUUUUGCAGCUUAACUGUAACAGUGCCGUUGAUACUGGGGAGCUAGGAUUUGGUUGCUGUGGGUGGAAUGUGUGGUGUAGCGGUGAAAUGCUUAGAGAUCACACAGAAUAUCGAUUGCGAAGGCAGCUCACAAAGCCAAGAUUGACGCUGAGGCACGAAAGUGUGGGGACCAAACAGGAUUAGA
rnacentral:rRNA from 1 species